CAAGAGUUGAUAAUUUCAGCUCAGUCCACCGAUCGCAGCGGCCACACUGACCCAAGCUCACCAAUGAUUCUCCUCUUUAACGCAAAGAAAAACCAACCAUGCUGACAAGAAGAGCCUGUCGCCUCAAGAGAGACGCCCUUCGAAGCCAGGAAGGAGCCCCAAUGUCUCCCACCGAGGAGCAUUCACAAUGCUGCGACUGGGCUCUUCUUCCCGCGAGGACCCAAAGACAAACCCAGCAGGACACAAGGCAGGAAGCGCUGGAUCAACAGGAGCCGGCCCCGAAAACGACCAAAACCAAGGACAGAAUCAACAAGACCACGACCAUCAAAAGAGACUGGAAAACAAAGAUC